GCGGACAACCACGGGAGCUCGCCGAGCGGGCUGAGAGGAAGCGAACCGCGCUUCGACCGUCGAACCUGAUCUGGGUCAUGCCAGCGAAGGAAGGAAACCUGAUGAGCAA
rnacentral:ncRNA from 2 species